GAGCACGUAGGUGGGUUUGUAAGUCAGAUGCGAAAGCCUUCUGUUCAACGGAAGAAUUGCAUCUGAAACUGCGAGUCUUGAGUAUAGGAGGGGAGAAUGGAACUUCUGGUGGAGCGGUGAAAUGCGUAGAUAUCAGAAGGAACGCCGGCGGCGAAAGCGAUUCUCUGGCCUAUUACUGACACUCAGUGUGCGAAAGCUAGGGGAGCAAACGGGAUUAGGUACCCCGGUAGUCCUAGCCGUAAAGCGAUGGGCACUAAGUAGAGGGGUC
rnacentral:rRNA from 1 species